UCUUCUAUGAUUACUUUGUCGACUCUAUGAAUGGUUCAUUGCUUUCCGUAUUCUAUUGUUUCCACAUGCUUCUCUCUUAGUAGUUAGUUACUUGGAGUUCUGCAACAAUUUACUUUUUGUGGACCAAGUAUAGCAGUAGGGAAUACUAUGUUAAAAUGCUCCAGGCCAUGGUCAGAUAAUUUCUUAUGUUAUAUGUAUUCUUUACUUCUCGCAGUUAUGCAUGACUUGCGACUUAUUCGCACAAAUCUAAAGCCGGAAAAUAUUCUUGUUUUUGUAGAAUAUGUGAAGGUGCCUGAUUAUAAGAAGGCUUCCUUCUACAAAUGUUCAGUCACCUGACAUAAAUGCACUGUGGUUUUAGAAAUGAGAAGAACGAGCUCCCCUCGGGUCAGGAGUGCAUCGAGCAUAUCCAAAAACCAGGUACAUAAAAGGCCAUCACAUUGUGGAGCUCUUCAUCUGCUUGACGGACUUUCAUUGAAUUGUCUUUUUAUUUUGAAGUCUUCCAAUGCAGAUUUUAAUUUUUACUGCCAGGUUUGCAAGUAAAGUCAGAUAAAUAAUGUUUCAAAUUACAUCAUGGUUGUUUUUACUAUCUUUUGAUUCUUAAAUGAAUAUGGCUUAAAUAUUUGUUUCUUUAUUUUA